UACAGAGGUCCCAAGCGUUGUUCGGAUUCACUGGGCGUAAAGGGUGCGUAGGUGGUCAGGUAAGUCCGAUGUGAAAUCUCCAGGCUCAACCUGGAAAUGGCAUUGGAUACUAUUCGGCUUGAGGAGUGGAGGGGGGACUGGAAUUCUCGGUGUAGCAGUGAAAUGCGUAGAUAUCGAGAGGAACACCAGUGGCGAAGGCGAGUCCCUGGACACUUCCUGACACUGAGGCACGAAAGCUAGGGGAGCAAACAGG
rnacentral:rRNA from 1 species